GCGCUCAGUAGUGACUGUAUUUUGCUGCAACUUCUAAGAUGUGAAUAUACACUUUCGGCUCCAUCCGUGCAUACACAUACACACAUAGGAACACGCAUGAAAUGUGGACACAGUCACUACUUUGGGCAGGUUCCGUCUCAUUCCAGUCUCCUUUAUUCCAGAGGUGUGGAUUGUUUUCGCUCUGCUCGCCACGCAGACCGGAGCUGGGCUCUUUGUGCGAAGGUGCUGCCCUCUCGUGGAAGUCAGUAGACUUGCAUGUUUAGCCAAAUGAGAAAAAUUGCAGUCCCCACCAUACGUAAGAGCUCAGGAAAUACUAGCUAUUCCUGUGGUGGUCGAAUUCAUAUAAUGACUGACAGAGGAAGAGGAAACCAUGAAGGAGACAGGGAAGGGGAAGCUACAGGAAAACCCCCAAAGAGCCUAGGACAGUGAUGAGCACAAAGUAACCUCUACAGAAAGCAGCCGCAAAGAAGUACUCCCAGUUCAGCGCAGAUGUGGCCGAGGCCAUGGCCUUCUUUGAUUCCAUCAUUGCCGAGCUAGAUACAGAGAAGCGGCCCCGGGCUGCUGAGGCAGAGCCCCCGAAUGAGGACGUGGACUUUGAUGUUGCCACCAGCUCCCGGGUGCACAGCCUGCACUCCAACUGGAUCCUGCGGGCGCCACGCCGGCACUCCGAGGACAUCGCUGCGCACGCUGUGCAUGCAACAGAUGGCCAGUUUCGAAGGACCACGGAGUGCAGGACCAUUGGCACUCAGAGGAGGCUCGAGAGGCACCCCAUUUACUUGCCCAAGGCUGUGGAAGGGGCAUUCAACACCUUGAAAUUUAAGCCCAAAGCCUGCAAAAAAGACCUGGGGAGCCCCCGACAGAUCCUCUUCAACAUCUCAGGAGAAGACAUGGAAUGGGAUACGGAGCUCUUCGCGCCGGAGCCCCUGGCCUCUCUGGGGGAGGACUACCAUGAGACGGAGAACCCCAAAGGGCAGUGGCUGCUUCGAGAAAAACUCUGGGAGCGAACAGUGCCCUGACUCCCUCUGAGCCAUUCAGCCUGACUCAGGCUGGGUCGCUGAGAAGGGGGCCACUUUCAGCACAGCACUGAAGGUUUGGGAGGGUUAAAAAUGGAGAUUGGAACCAAGUCAAGUGCAUGAGCCCAGCAGCACUGCCCGCUGCUGCCCAGUUAGUGCCAAACACACCUGUGGCCUCCCAGAGCACCUGCCUGGGGAGACUGUGGAGCCCGGCUCGCCUGGCACGGCAGGUUAGUAGGUAGGUACAGCCUGGCUGGUCUACCAGCAGGAGGAAUGGGAGGCCUGGAGUGGGAGUGUCCCAGCUCACUAGCCUGGCCCCCCCUUUCAGUUCUCUGUGCAUCUGUCUAAGCGGCUGCUAAUGUUGUGCUCAGUAUAGGAAAUGAGGCCACCCAGGGGUCUCUGGGCCAAAGUCCUCAGGAAGGCAGCUCUGGUCUCUGCGGGGCUCAGAACCAUUUUGGUUACAAACAGAGGUGGCCCUCCUUUGUGCAGAUCGCAGUUCAGGAAGCACCUCCUUCUGUGCUAACACUCUCACAGUGUUCUAGAAACCUCUGCUGGAUUACCCUGGAGAUGGGGCCAGUGCCCUGGCACUGGGAAGGAGUGUGUCAGGGCCCUGCCUCGGGACCCCACUAUCUCUCCCAGCCCCCAAACCCAGCUCCAUUUCCCACAGGUGGUGGGCUGGGGAUGGCAGGAGAUGAGUGGUGCUUUUCUUCGAAUCUUUGUUCAGGAAGUCCUCACAGACACCCCUGCAACCAGUUUAUGGCAGGCUGUGCCUCUCCCCUCCCCCAAUUAAAAGGAAAAUCAGCAUCCUUAUGUUCUUUUGAACUAGAAAGGAUCUGUGAGUUUAGUAACCUAUCUGAAUCCGAAUUACCCGUUAAACCUAUUCUUUGCAUUUCUCACAUACUUUUUGUAUUUCUGCCUGCUGGAGUUUGAGAACCGCUGGUUCGGAGAAUACGUUGCAUUUUGUUCGUUCUUACUAUUUCUUCUGGUGUUUUCUUAUAAAGAAGUCACCCGGUGGGUGCACACUCAUGAAGGCAGGAGUGCUCAUGGGGAUAAGGGAAGGAGACAGAUGAGGACAAAUCAAUAAUCCAAAGUAAGCCCAGAAUGCUCUAGGCUAAGGUUAGUCUGAGAGCAGAAGAGAGCUUUCCCUCUGCUAGGCUCACGUAAUGAUUUUCUCAUUGUUGAGUUUUUUUAAUAAAGAACCUUUUAUCUGUGUGAACCCAGCUGUCUAAAUCUAAGUAUUUGUAACUCCUACGAGAAGAAAACAACAACAACAACAACACGCUAAUAAUGACGAGGCAUUCUUAGAAAUUUUAUGUCAACACAUUUUAGAUGAAAAUAUACUGGAAAUGUUUUAAUACGUGUCUUUAUUAUUAUUUUCUUUUUGAGUGCCAAUGUCAAUGUUUGGGAGGUUUCUUUAAUUUUGUUGCUUAUCCUAAACCCACUCUAGGCAGAAGCCUGACUGAAAAAUAAAUGUUUGGGAGAUUUGUUUUAUAAACUGCAUUAAAGCACACCAAGUUAACAUUGCCACAGACCUUUCUUUACCCCAAAUGUGGCCUUGUUUUGAAACCCCACAAAUGAAAAGUCACCGCUAAGGAUCAUUUCAGGAUGAAGGUCUCUUGACCCUGCCUCUUAUCAAACUACAGUUUAUCAUGGAUUCGACCCUGACAUUAUGUGGUGAAGACUCUGUGUACAUUUUGCUUUUACAGAUAAGAAAAAAAUAAACAGGACAGAGAGGAUGUUUGGAGUCUUGAUUUUUUUUUUUAAGCAUAUAUUGCUUAUGGGGCAUGAAGCUGUACUUUUCUCUUUUGCUUCACAUUUUGUAUAUUUUUGCCUUUAAUGAGACUAUACACAGACUGCCUGAAAAAUUCCAUGAUUCAGAAACAGAAGGCUGGCGUGUCUGGGAUGAUUUUAGGUAUUUGAAAUUGGUGAUAAACCCCAGGGUCUGGGCUUUGUCUAGGGAAUCC
ensembl:lincRNA